rnacentral:rRNA from 1 species
GACAGAGGGGGCAAGCGUUGCUCGGAAUUACUGGGCGUAAAGGGCGCAUAAACGGGAUGGCAAGUCGGUCGUGAAAUCCCUCGGCUCAACCGAGGAACGUCGAUCGAUACUGCUGUUCUUGAGGAUUGCAGAGGAGACUGGAAUUCCCGGUGUAGCGGUGAAAUGUGUAGAGAUCGGGAGGAACACCGAUGGCGAAGGCGGGUCUCUGGGCAAUUCCUGACGCUGAGGCGCGAAAGCGUGGAGAGCAAACGGG